UAUUUCACGGAACUCAUAAAAAGACGCCUUCAACACGUAUUAUUUCUUUUUUAUCGGUGAUAUAGAAUAAGCCUCCAAUUUAUUUUAUACAUUUUUCAGAAAAAAACAGGAUGACAAGAAAACUUUUUCCUUUACGGUGAUUUAUUAGGGGAGUGGCAGGAAAUUUCGGAGGAGGCUCUAUCCCCCUUAGUCCCUCCCCAUUAUGUAGUAUUAUGUAUUAUUAUUUUUUGGGGCAUUUGCAGAUUUUCUUUCG